CUUGCUCUGUGGAUCAGUGGCGAACGGGUGAGUAACACGUGAGCAACCUGCCCCUGACUCUGGGAUAAGCGCUGGAAACGGCGUCUAAUACUGGAUAUGUGACGUGACCGCAUGGUCUGCGUCUGGAAAGAAUUUCGGUUGGGGAUGGGCUCGCGGCCUAUCAGCUUGUUGGUGAGGUAAUGGCUCACCAAGGCGUCGACGGGUAGCCGGCCUGAGAGGGUGACCGGCCACACUGGGACUGAGACACGGCCCAGACUCCUACGGGAGGCAGCAGUGGGGAAUAUUGCACAAUGGGCGGAAGCCUGAUGCAGCAACGCCGCGUGAGGGAUGACGGCCUUCGGGUUGUAAACCUCUUUUAGCAGGGAAGAAGCGAAAGUGACGGUACCUGCAGAAAAAGCGCCGGCUAACUACGUGCCAGCAGCCGCGGUAAUACGUAGGGCGCAAGCGUUAUCCGGAAUUAUUGGGCGUAAAGAGCUCGUAGGCGGUUUGUCGCGUCUGCUGUGAAAUCCGGAGGCUCAACCUCCGGCCUGCAGUGGGUACGGGCAGACUAGAGUGCGGUAGGGGAGAUUGGAAUUCCUGGUGUAGCGGUGGAAUGCGCAGAUAUCAGGAGGAACACCGAUGGCGA
rnacentral:rRNA from 1 species